ACGAACGCUGGCGGCGUGCCUAAUACCUGCAAGUCGAGCGAGUCUGCCUUGAAGAUCGGAGUGCUUGCACUCUGUGAAACAAGAUACAGGCUAGCGGCGGACGGGUGAGUAACACGUGGGUAACCUGCCCAAGAGAUCGGGAUAACACCUGGAAACAGAUGCUAAUACCGGAUAACAACAGAUGAUGCCUAUCAACUGUUUAAAAGAUGGUUCUGCUAUCACUCUUGGAUGGACCUGCGGUGCAUUAGCUAGUUGGUAGGGUAACGGCCUACCAAGGCGAUGAUGCAUAGCCGAGUUGAGAGACUGAUCGGCCACAUUGGGACUGAGACACGGCCCAAACUCCUACGGGAGGCAGCAGUAGGGAAUCUUCCACAAUGGACGCAAGUCUGAUGGAGCAACGCCGCGUGAGUGAAGAAGGGUUUCGGCUCGUAAAGCUCUGUUGUUGGUGAAGAAGGACAGGGGUAGUAACUGACCUUUGUUUGACGGUAAUCAAUUAGAAAGUCACGGCUAACUACGUG
rnacentral:rRNA from 1 species